UACGGAGGGGGCGAGCGUUAUUCGGAAUUAUUGGGCGUAAAGGGCGCGUAGGCGGCUGAACAAGUCAAAGGUGAAAUCCCUCGGCUCAACUGAGGAACUGCCUUUGAAACUGUUCGGCUUGAGGCCGGGAGGGGGUAGCGGAAUUCCCAGUGUAGCGGUGAAAUGCGUAGAUAUUGGGAGGAACACCAGUGGCGAAGGCGGCUACCUGGACCGGUUCUGACGCUGAGGCGCGAAAAGCGUGGGUAGCAAACAGG
rnacentral:rRNA from 1 species